AUUCAUCAGUUGGCUGCCCAUGUCCUAGUGACUGGCCCCACACCAUGUGCAUGUGUGGAGCACAACUGUUCUGAAGAUAAGCAACAGGAGACUGGACUAAGACUACAGAACAGAGUAAAAUGGCAAACCGCGUUAUCGUUGGAAGUGUAUAUACCAUCUAGAGAAAUGAGCAGUGGAGGACGGCUCACCAGAGGGAGGCAGCUUUCCAGUCCAUCCUGUGGUCUUGUAAAGUGAGGAGGCAAGAGGUGCAGCCCAUUAGUUUGGAUCAAGGCAUGGAGUGAAAAAUAUUUUUGUUGUUGUUUCAGAGAUGUUUGGGGGUGGGGGAAAUGCUAAUAAAAUUAUAAAUAGAAGGA